AGAGUUUGAUCCUGGCUCAGAACGAACGCUGGCGGCAGGCCUAACACAUGCAAGUCGAACGGGAUCUUCGGAUCUAGUGGCGGACGGGUUAGUAACGCGUGGGAACGUACCCUUUUCUACGGAAUAGCCUCGGGAAACUGAGAGUAAUACCGUAUACGCCCUUCGGGGGAAAGAUUUAUCGGAGAAGGAUCGGCCCGCGUAAGAUUAGGUAGUUGGUGGGGUAAUGGCCUACCAAGCCUACGAUCAGUAGCUGGUCUUAGAGGAUGAUCAGCAACACUGGGACUGAGACACGGCCCAGACUCCUACGGGAGGCAGCAGUGGGGAAUCUUAGACAAUGGGCGCAAGCCUGAUCUAGCCAUGCCGCGUGAGUGAUGAAGGCCUUAGGGUCGUAAAGCUCUUUCGCUGGGGAAGAUAAUGACGGUACCCAGUAAAGAAACCCCGGCUAACUCCGUGCCAGCAGCCGCGGUAAUACGGAGGGGGUUAGCGUUGUUCGGAAUUACUGGGCGUAAAGCGCGCGUAGGCGGACUGUUAAGUCGGGGGUGAAAUCCCGGGGCUCAACCCCGGAACGGCCUUCGAUACUGGCAGUCUGGAGUUCGAGAGAGGUGAGUGGAAUUCCGAGUGUAGAGGUGAAAUUCGUAGAUAUUCGGAGGAACACCAGUGGCGAAGGCGGCUCACUGGCUCGAUACUGACGCUGAGGUGCGAAAGUGUGGGGAGCAAACAGGAUUAGAUACCCUGGUAGUCCACACCGUAAACGAUGAAUGCCAGUCGUCGGGUAGUAUACUGCUCGGUGACACACCUAACGGAUUAAGCAUUCCGCCUGGGGAGUACGGUCGCAAGAUUAAAACUCAAAGGAAUUGACGG
rnacentral:rRNA from 1 species